AGAAUCAAACGCUGGCGGCGUGCCUAACACAUGCAAGUCGAACGAGAAAGUGGUAGCAAUACCAUGAGUAAAGUGGCGCACGGGUGAGUAACACGUGACUAACCUACCCUGGAGUGGGGAUAACUGAGGGAAACCUUAGCUAAUACCGCAUAACACCUACGGGUCAAAGGAGCAAUUCGCUUCAGGAGGGGUCGCGGCAGAUUAGCUAGUUGGCGGGUAAUGGCCCACCAAGGCAGUGAUCUGUA
rnacentral:rRNA from 1 species